rnacentral:lncRNA from 1 species
CCCUGAGCCUGAGCCUGAUGGGAGGAAUUUGAUGGAUCAUUCCUUCAUGGGACUGAGUAUUCUAAGAUCAUUCCCUGUAUGCAAAUAAUAUAGUAUGGGUCCCUGUAAUUGUUCUUACCUAAUACAGGAGGGAGCUUCUCUUGUGAAGGCUGAUACUGAUCUGUUUUUAGGUAGUUCCUGGUUAAAAGAACCCAAAGUAAUGAAAAAUAUAUUGCUAGUAAUAAUUUCUCUGAAUACUCACAGACAGCUAAUACAGCUGUUCCUCUUCAAGAUACUGCUACCUGCUGAGAGGCCCUGGAGCUAUUCUGGAGGCUACAGAGACUAUGCCCUAUCCUGCUUGUCAUCACCUGCAGCUGGUUCCAGGCUCCAAGGAUGAAUUGGCAGGAAUGGACUUUCCCCCCACCCUCUCUUUUAUAAAGCGUUUCCACCAUUAAAAAUUUGAACCUUGAUCAGACUAGUUGUCUUGGUUCCAUCUUUCUCUAGUCGCCUAGUUUCCCUCUCUUUCAGUUCCAAGAUGCCUUCCGGGCUUGAACAUGAGAGCCGCAGGCCGGCCCCAACACUGAAGUAUUCAGUUAAUUGACAGGGUUUCUUUUAUACAAAUUUAGCAUAAUGCAAGCACACAAAUAUCACAACAGAGGUUUGGAGGCCAUUUUACUCUCUGAAAUUCAUCUCAUUGUUUCUAAAGAUUGAAAGUUUGAAAGAUUUUAUUGUGGUAAAAAGUCCUAACACAGGUGUGAUUUCAGUUUGGUGGACUGGGAGGACCUACUAUAUAGCCAUAUGAUUUUCCUACUAGGAUUAUCUAAAGAGGUAAUUUAUACUGUUUCAUACUUCAGUAAGAAAACUGUAUUCUACGUGGUAAAUGUCUGUAAGGGAUUUUUAUGUCUCCCUCCCCCCAAAAACAGAAGAAAAGAAAAUGGAAAAAAGUGCAGAAGUUGCAUUCUCUGUCCUAAAAGUGGAUCUGGG